GAUGAACGCUGGCGGCGUGCCUAAUACAUGCAAGUCGAGCGAACAGACGAGGAGUUUGCUCCUCUGACGUUAGGGGCGGACGGGUGAGUAACACGUGGAUACCCUACCUAUACGACUGGGAUCACUUCGGGAAACCGGCGAUUAUACCGGAUAAUAUAUUAAACCGCAUGGUUUAAUAGUGAAAUACGGUUUUGUUGUUACUUAUAGAUGGUUCCUCGUCGUAUUAGCUUUGUGGUAUGGUAACGCCCUACCAAGGCAACGAUGAGUAGCCGACCUGGAGGGGGGAUCGGCAACACUGGAACGGAGACACGGUCCAGACUCCUACGGGAGGCAGCAGUAGGAAAUCUUCCGCAAGGGGCGAAGGCCUGACGGAGCAACGCCGCGUGAGUGAUGAAGGUCUUCGGAUCGUAAAACUCUGUUAAUAGGGAAGAACAAAUGUGUAAGUAACUAUGCACGUCGUGACGGUACCUUAUCAGAAAGCCACGGCUAACUACGUG
rnacentral:rRNA from 1 species